UACGAAGGGGGCUAGCGUUGCUCGGAAUCACUGGGCGUAAAGCGCACGUAGGCGGACUCUUAAGUCGGUGGUGAAAUCCUGGAGCUCAACUCCAGAACUGCCUUCGAUACUGAGAGUCUCGAGUCCGGGAGAGGUGAGUGGAACUGCGAGUGUAGAGGUGAAAUUCGUAGAUAUUCGCAAGAACACCAGUGGCGAAGGCGGCUCACUGGCCCGGUACUGACGCUGAGGUGCGAAAGCGUGGGGAGCAAACCGGGAUUAAGAUACCC
rnacentral:rRNA from 1 species